UACAGGAGGGGGCUAGCGUUAUUCGGAAUUAUUGGGGCGUAAAGGGCGCGUAGGCGGCCAUGCGUGUCUUACCGUGAAAUCCCUCGGCUUAACUGAGGACGUGCGGAAGAAACUGCAAGGCUUGAGUCCGGGAGAGGGGGGUGGAAUUCCCAGUGUAGCGGUGAAAUGCGUAGAGUAUUGGGAGGAACACCGGGUGGCGAAGGCGGCCCCCUGGACCGGUACUGACGCUGAGGCGCGAAAGCGUGGGUAGCAAACGGG
rnacentral:rRNA from 1 species